CACGUAGGGUGCGAGCGUUGUCCGGAAUUAUUGGGCGUAAAGAGCUCGUAGGCGGUGUGUCGCGUCGGCCGUGAAAACCUGCAGCUCAACUGUGGGCUUGCGGGUCGAUACGGGCAGGCUAGAGUUCGGUAGGGGAGAUCGGAAUUCCUGGAUGUAGCGGUGAAAUGCGCAGAUAUCAGGAGGAACACCGGUGGCGAAGGCGGAUCUCUGGGCCGAUAACUGACGCUGGAGGAGCGAAAGCCGUGGGGAGCGAACAGGA
rnacentral:rRNA from 1 species